rnacentral:rRNA from 1 species
GUUCUAAAUUUAUAAUAGAAUUUUAUUUUUUAGUCAAAAAGCUAAAAUAAAUUUAAAAGACGAGAAGACCCUAUAAAUCUUUAUAUUUAGAUAAUUACAAUUUUGUGGAUUUUUUUUGUUGUGAUUGUUGAUAAUAUUUUAUUGGGGUGAUAUUAAAAUUUAAAAAACUUUUAAUUAAUUAAAUCAUUAAUUUAUGAAUAAUUGAUCCGUUAUUAACGAUUAAAAAUUUAAGUUACCUUAGGGAUAACAG